UACAGAGGUCCCAAGCGUUACUGAGAAUCACUGGGUUUAAAGGGUGCGUAGGUGGUCCGUUAAGUCAGUUGUGAAAUCCCCGGGCUCAACCCGGGAACUGCUUCUGAUACUGGCGGACUUGAGGCCAGUAGGGGUCACUAGAACUGACGGUGGAGCGGUGAAAUGCGUAGAUAUCGUCAGGAAUGCCGGUGGUGAAGACGGGUGACUGGGCUGGUUCUGACGCUGAGGCGCGAAAGCUCGGGGAGCGAACGGG
rnacentral:rRNA from 1 species